GACGAACGCUGGCGGCGUGCUUAACACAUGCAAGUCGAACGGAAAGGCCCUGCUUUUGUGGGGUGCUAGAGUGGCGAACGGGUGAGUAACACGUGAGUAACCUGCCCUUGACUUUGGGAUAACUUCAGGUAACUGGGGCUAAUAUCGGAUAGGAGAUCCUGCUGCAUGGUGGGGGUUGGAAAGUUUCGGCGGUUGGGGAUGGACUCGCGGCUUAUCAGCUUGUUGGUGGGGUAGUGGCUUACCAAGGCUUUGACGGGUAGCCGACCUGAGAGGGUGGCCGGGCACAUUGGUACUAAGGUACGGCCCAGACGCCUACGGGAGGCAGCAGUCGGGAACAUUGCACAAUGAGCGGAAGCCUGAUGCAACAACGCCGCGUUCGGGAAGACGGCCUUCUGGUUGUAAACCGCUUUCGCCUGUGACGAAGCGUGAGUGACGGUAAUGGAUAAAGAAGCACCGGCUAACUACGUG
rnacentral:rRNA from 1 species